ACUUCCUACCUGAUACAUUGCUUCCUGUCAGCCUGAUAGUAGUCAUACUAGCCUCUAAGUCGCUCGUUUUAUCAUUACCUCAUUAUAUGAAUAUAAUCAUUUUUCUAUAGCUUUAAAAAAAUAUAUAUUAUUGUUGAAAAUUGUGUUUAUCCGUUCAGUUAGUGAUUUUUGUAAUUCGAUUCUUGUGUUCUGUGUCUUUUUUUGUUUCGUUUAGCUAGCUAUUAACGCGCUAACCAUUAAGGUGGCUAGUAAUUAGUCAACACCCCUGCUUACCAUGCCAUUGUUUUACACAAGGUGCUUGAAGAGCUGCCAAAGGUAACAGUGACGGGUGUACAUCGUCUGGCCAAGACAAUUAGCAAAGCACCGACCUCCAAGUUGGAAAAAGGUUUAAACUUUGUCUCCAGUUACCUUUUCUACUAUGAAGGUUGUACUGAAGCGCUCUGAGCCAGAAACAAUGACACAUCACUGUUUGUGUUGCUGGCACUGCAUUAUGCAACCACACAGUUGCAUUACUAUUCCAGUCUGCACACUAUUCCCAGGUGGGAACAUCAGUCAUCCCACCUGUGCACAGAGGCCAGGCAGCAGUGGCAUAAGCCCAGGACUAUGGGUCUGAAACCUGGGCCUAUAGGCAAAAUUACCAUCAUAGGCAAAAUUACCAUCAUCAAGACCACCAAAAAGUGCAUGGCAGAAAGAGGGAUUAGGUGGUUUCAAGUACGUUGUUUAGAUUGGCUAACCACAGCGGCUGCUUUGCAGAAGUACACUCUACAGUGCCCUUCUUGGACCGCUCCCUGACUUCUCAGUAAUUCAGAUAGAAGAGGCAUAAAAUAACUUUGACCAUCUCUCCAAGCCAUUGAUCUGCAGCAUGGGGAUGUCUGCUGAAAAGCUUUUAGCCAAGGAAAGGUGCAAGUGGGGAGCCUCCUGUCUUACCAGCAGCCACCAAUCACAAUGCAACACAUAGUUCACAAUAAGGAGACACCACCAUUCCCUCCACUGCCCCUGGAUUGCUACAGACUAGAGAACAACUUUCAAGGCUGCACAUUUGUGUUCAGUGAAGGAGACCAGCUUCACAUAGUCUCUUCAGGUGAGCUUCGCAACGGCCCAUAAAAUAGAGGAAGCUACUAGAGAACAGAGUGCUUUCUCUGACUGGCAGGUGCUACGGAAACCAAGACUGACCUCGUCACGGUUCUGAGAGGCUUGCCAUGUGAGAGUGCCUACGGUUGUCUGCCAUCUAGCUGAAAGGAUCCUCAAAGGCACAGCACCAACAGCUGACAUGAAGAGAGGACUGGAGAUGGAAGCAGCCAGUGACUACUGCAAGAUGCAGAAUGUCAAAUUCUCACCCUGUGGCCUCAUACAUCCUGACAUCCCUUGGUUUAAAUCUUCUCCUGAUGGCCUGGUCUACAACCCUCUCGAGCAUCCACCUUUUGGCCUAGUUGAGAUUAAGAACCCAAACGUAAAAGAUUUUGUGGAUUGUAAGUACGUUCACAUGCAUAACGGUGAACCUUCCCUGAAGAGGCAUCAUACCUACUACUGGCAAGUUCAAGGUCAGCUCUACAUCACUGAGUUGGAGUGGUGUGACUUUGUUGUCUGUGGACAUGAGGACAUUCUGUUUGAGAUAGUACAGAGACCCAGUGGUGUUCACACUAAUUAGAGUGAAGGGUGACUGGUACUACUUUAUAUGUGUACAUGCAAAAGUUAUUAGGCAGGAAAGCCUAAAUAACUCCAGACAGGCUCCUGUACCUUUCAAUUAAUGAAAGAGAAACAAACUAACAAAUCUGUCUGUGCAAUUAAUUAAUAAGUCAUUUUAAAUAAUUCAGUAACAUUUUUUCAGUUCUCUUGUCACUGUAAAUAAAUAUUAUGUCCAACAUUUUGUGUUUGGAGUAUAAGCAGUGGUGUUUAUUAUCAAUACAUGGACUACAGGGUGUUAGACAAUGUGGAUGGUCACAGCAAAAAAAAAAAAGGAAAGCUGUAGCUCAUUGCACCUUGGCCCAUGCCUUCACAAGAGGCCCACACUGGUAGUUUGUGAGAAGGCAAGCCACAGCCCAGAUGCAGUUGAUGCUUCCCAUCAGUGACUUGGGGAUCUCUGACUGAAACAGCCUUUUCAGUUUAAUUCUGCCAAUUAAUCUCUCAAUGUGGACUCGAUAAGAUGAGCAAUCUCUCGCGUUUUGAUGGACCUGUGCUGCUGGCAUUUGGAUCCGUUUAGACAAAGGGUGGACGGUAAGACCUUGUCUGGCACACAGUCAUCAAUCAUGAACCCCUUGUCUGCUAUCACUGCCAUGUCUUCAGUGAGCAAGUCAAACAGCCUGAUUUUGGGGGGGGGGGGAAUAUCUCUUUGUUGUUGAUGGAGCCCGCAUACAAUUCUGACACUACAGUAACUGCUCCAUGUGGUGCCAUGGGGCUUUCAAGGUGCAGUGGGACUUGUAAUGACUGUGUAGAGGGAGACUGGCUGGCUGCUGGCAUUUCAACUCGGUACAGUCAAUAAUGACCUGGGUGCCUGGAUACCUACUGAGCUCCUUCGGCAACACAUCACGGACAAACUGAAUUGGUCCACACAGACAGCGUUGUGAAGAAGGCGUAGCAGCGCUUCUUCAACCUCAAGAGACUUUAGAAAUUUGGCUUGCACAAUAAAGAGCAUCCUGUCGGGCUGUAUCACCGCCUGGUACGGCAACUGCUCCGCCCACAACCGUAUGGCUCUCCAGAGGGUAGUGAGGUCUGCACAACGCAUCACCUGGGGCAAACUACCUGCCCUUCAGGACACUGUUAGAUUUGCGUCAAUUCGAAUCUGGUAUUAGGAUAAAUAUGUGACAUGGACAAUAUUGGCAGUUAACGGUUCGAUGAGAGACCAAAAAGCCAUCAGAUGGUCAUGUUAGCACUAACGUUAGCUAUGUACUGGUAGCUAACGUUUGCUAGCUAAAGAGACAAAAAAAGACGCAGAACACAAUCGAAUUACAAAAAUCAUUAACUGAACAGAUAAACACAAUUUCAAAAAUGGCUGACAGAAAUACUAGGUUGAGACGGGGAUGGUGGUUGGAAGAGGGCGCUUGGUUGAAAUUGAAAAGUGUCAUGGUAGCUUUUGAUAAAGCAUAACAUCAAGACAAAGCAGCCGCAUUGUAAGUGUGAUGCACUGUUGAGCGCUACAUCCCGAGGGGUUCGUGCUAAUUGUACGGAGAUUGUGACAGCUGGUUAAAUGGCGUCCCUUGAGAAAGCAAGAACAAGAUGUAUGUCAGGAGAAGUGCAGUAUUAUAAUAAGGAGGCGUAUACUUAGAAUACAGAGGAGGAAUGGAGGGAAAAAGAGAGACACAGGAGGUCUAAGAGUGAGGAAGACGUGAGCUUGUUGGUUAAAAACGGGGGGGGGAGCCUGGUUUGUUAAUGAAGAAUGGUAGAAAGUAUAAGCAGAGUGAGCUGAAGACAGGAGGAGAAAAGGAAGUGAAUGAGGGCGAAGUAUCAGAGGUGGUAGGUGUGGUGAAGUUCUCAGAGCCUGAGGCUUGCACCAAGGGUUAGGAUAAAGAUGAGUCACAGAAGUGAAGUAUUUGGAAAAGUGGAACCUUGUCUUUUGGCUGAUCCAUUUGUGGUUUCAGGGUGGGUGAAAACAGAGUUGGGUGCUGUGGAUCGGUGAAGUGGUCUUGUGAUAAUUGUUUGUGUAACUGUUGGUCAGAGGGAGAAGGUGCUCUGCGUUAAACAAAUGGGGGCAAGAAAUGUGAAUUGUUUCACUCUCAAGAAAAGGGUGCCAUUGAAAGGAGUGAUUUACUGGGGUAGCAGUAAAUGUAAAAGUUGACCAACUGAAGGGAAAGAAUCUAGGUGUUUGAUGCUCGUCGUUUGGUGCGACGCAGACAGGUUGGCGAGAGUGGUGAAACAAGUCAUUUUCUGUUCUUUUGAGUUUUGAUGUUGAGUCUUUGCCCGACAAAGUGAUGUUAGGAUAGAUAAGUUAUCCUGUACGAGCUUUUGUGCCGAAUACAUUACGUUGUUACAGGUGUCAAGCUUAUGGGCAUGUGGCAGCAGUGUGUAGGAGGGAGGCUCUUAGGUGUGAGAAGUGUGCAGAAGAGCAUGAGACAAAGGAAUGUGUAGCAUCGGGGAAAGUAGUGGUAUGCGUUAAUUUUAGGGGUGCCUAUAUGGGGCUGGGAAUCAGAAAUGUCCCGUGCAAGAGAGGCAGGUUGAGGUUUCCAGGGUUCGAGUAGUGCAGAAGUUGUCAUAUGCUGAGGCAGUGUAGAAAGUAGAGGAAGAUGAGUCAAGGGGGAGGUAUCCUGAAAGGAGUGGUGUGAGUAGUAGAUCUGUACCAGUACAAAGGGAUAGGCCAACAAGUGAUGCAUGUUUCAGAAAGAUUGAAUUUCAAGCAUUUAUAGCAAUGGUUAUCAACUGGACUGCAGGGAUGGAGCGUAAGUCGCAGAAAAUUGAGGUUGUGGUGGCAGCUGCAGAGAGGUAUUUGGGUUUGCGAGACUUGACAUCAGAAGAGUUACAGGGUGUGUUAAGUGUGGUGAUGUCCCAUCCUUUCAGGUUGUUGGCAUGAGGUAGGACUAAAUAUAUUUAAAUAGUGGAGUAGGGUGGUGGUAUUUUUUUGUUUAGUGUUGUGUUAGAUGGUAGGGUAUUUGUUUAUUUAUUUCAAGCAAGGUAUAAGGAAGUUAUACUCCAGUCUAGUAGGUGGCGGUAAUGCAACAUAUUGGGUGCCAACUGCCUUUAAAACUCAGCAAAGAGGAAAAAUACUAUGACGGAAGCAAAUGUAAGUAAUUAUGUCAUAACGAAUCAUGCAUAAAAAAUGUAGUUGAGAGGAAUGUGUUAGUUAAUGUAAAGACAAACGAUUGUCUUUUUCGUUUGUCAUAAGGCUAAUUUACAAAAAUCGCUAUUUAGCAAGCUAGCUGACUAGUUAACAUUAGCCAACUAGCUGGCUAACUUUAUGGUGUGACAUCAGUUUGAAAUUGUAAUUCUGGUUGUUUAAUGUUUUAGGAACUCGUGAAACAACCAGCAAACCAAGCUGUCUUGUGAAACAUUGGAUGUAAAUAAUCUAGCUAGCUAGCUAUAGCAUUUACUACAAAUUGAUUGUACAAUUUUGUAAGCUUGCCUUGCUGUUAUUUGCCAUGUAAUCCAUCUGAAGUAACAUAGCAAGCUAACUAUUUUGUUGCUUAUUGUGCAGUGGAGGAUUAAAAUACCUGUAUGCCUAUGGAUGUGUAGCGAGCUAUGUUGGCGAUCUGUGUAUUGACCCUAAAACGUUUGGUAUAUUAGUUCAGAACCUAGCUAUGAACAUAGCUAGCCAAAUGUAUCAACUUCAUUCAUGACGCCUAUGGAUUGAGUAGAAUGUAAUAGAACUUUGUGCCAAGGAUGCUAGUCGAAUGUACAUGUAGUUAUUACCAUACAUGAUAUCCCGACAUUGUAGCCUGUACAUGUUAUAUAUUCACUGAUCAUGUACUCUACUUUGGCAAAUAAAGGUGCAGUUCAGGUAUGAA